UAUUGUCUGGUAUUACAUUAACCAAAUUCUCAGGGAUACUCGUUCUGGCUUUCUCCAAAUCCCAGGUUUUCCAAAUAUUCUACUUUCGAAUGUAUUUAGGUAUAGUUCUUAUAGGAGCCGCUCAUGGUUUGAUAUUUUUACCGGCAUUCUUAAGUUUUAUAGGUUAUUUAAAAUAUCCAUCUAGAGAUUGAGGAGUUGUAAUCUACUAACAAAAAAAACACGGGUUAAAAAGCAUUAUAAGUACAAUGUUAAA